rnacentral:rRNA from 1 species
GGGUCAGUAGGUUGGUCGUGCCACCGGUACGUACUGGUCUCACUGAUUCCUCCUUCCUGAAGAACCGUAAUGCCAUUAAUUUGGUGUCGCGGGGAAACAGGACUGUUACUUUGAAAAAAUUAGAGUGUUUAAAGCAAGCUAACGCUUGAAUACAUUAGCAUGGAAUAAUGAAAUAGGACGAUCGACCCUAUUUUGUUGGUUUCUAGGAUUGACGUA